AACUCUACAGUGCGGCCCUGGGUCCACUGGUCCAUACUCUGACAGAUAAUUAAGAAAGCAGCAGCUUUUUCUAGACGGCUCUUCCUCAUGAUUUGCAUUUUAGCCAGAGGCGACCAGUUAUAAAAAAAACAUGAUGGAAAGAUGGUAAGAAGCCAAUUAGAUGGAUGGAUGGCUGACUGACAGCUCUCUGGUAUUACGACUCCAGAUUUCAGACUACAUAGCCUGGCAGUUCUCUACAAGAACCAACUUUUUUGCAGAAGGUCAUGCAUAUGCUAUUAUAGUUCACAGCUAGGCCCUCACUGCUGAAAUUGUGGGUGUUAUUGCCUGCCAGACUGCAUAGAUUCAGAAGCAUCGGCUUGAGAAGCAAAGGGGUUAUGCCUGCUCUUGCACACACUGAUGGCUCUGUGAAUCAAUUCAGGGUGAGAGUAGUUAGCACUGACUGAGGUUAGGACAUUUGCGGCUGUUCAGGGAGCAUCAGAAACUAAAACCUGAGUGUUAUUCAUACUGGGAUAUAAAAUAAGAGGCACAAUGCAGUAAGGAGACAUGAGGAAAAUAUAAAUAGAAUAUUCACCUGUAAAAU
ensembl:lincRNA